ensembl:lncRNA
CGCCUUAUUUGAGUAAAAUAUUGAUAAUUCUGUAUGUUUAGUACGGACUAUUGAGACAAUGAAAGAUGACGAAAAAGACGUCGGACGAAAAAGACGUCGGACCAUAAAUGGUUAAUGCGGUCUCGCACUAUCAGGUCACUUUGUUUUUACUCGCCAUUGGUCGGCUUUACUAUCAAUCAAACCUUAAACCAAUCAGCGAAGGGCAAAUCUGUCGAGUCCUUCUCGUUUGGCCAAUCAGCGGUUAGUUACUAAGAGUCGCGGUGCAGAUUUAAAAGUAAAAUUAAUCUCUUGUCAACACAUUUAGGACUGGGGCUAGUCGAAAAGACGUGAUUUCUGAACCGAGAGCGAUGAACACAGGUGCGGGCAGUCCAACACCUGUGCAGCUUUCUGGGAUCAAGUGCUUAGGAUAAAUCAACAACAUCAUGUGGACCGUCUCACAGAUGCCUCCUGGACCUUGUGAGCCGAUUUCUGGAAGACAGUGACAGGAUUUUCCUUCCCUAUAACCAACGCUGCUCAACUUUAAUACACAGUGACGUUGAGCAACAUUGCUUGAGAUUAUGCUGAGCAUCCUUGCAGCUGGCUCCAUAUUCUUCCCAGGCCUCUUCCUGCUGUCCAAGCGAUUCCUGAAACAUGUUCCUGGGAUCAAAUGGAGCGAGAAGGAUGCUGUCAUCAUCUCGUCCAGACUGGUGUCCUCCGUUCAGGCCAUUAUGGCAUCCUCUGCCGGGUACAUCAUCGCCUGUUCUUGUGAAGACAUUAUUGAGGACCAGCAUUGGCUUACCAGCAGCUAUAUCCUCUUUGCUGUCCCCUACUUCGUCUAUGACAUCUAUGCCAUGUUCUUGUGUUACUGGUACAAACUUCAGGUCAAAGAUCAUGAGGAGGAGAGCGAGGCCAAAUCAAUGAGGUCAGCCAUCAGUGGCUAUCUGCGCCGAGAGUUCCUCAUGGUCUUGCACCAUGUCGUCAUGGUUACUGUCUGUUUCCCUGUCUCUGUGUUCUGGAGACAGGGCAAAGGGGAUUAUUUCCAGGGUGUGAUGUUCCUGGCAGAACUCAGCACCCCAUCUGUCUGUCUGGGAAAAAUACUCAUCCAGUAUAAGCGACAGCACACUCUCCUACAUAAAGUCAAUGGAGCUCUUAUGCUGGUCACUUUCUUCAUCUGCAGAGUUCUUCUCUUCCCCUACCUCUACUACGCCUACGGCAGGUAUGCAUCCAUCCCCUUCUACAUGGUGCCGCUGUCUGUGCCCUGGCAGUGUAACGCAGGUGCAGCUUUGCUCAUGGCUCCGCAGGUCUACUGGUUUUCCCUCAUCUCCAGGGGUGCUUUCCGUCUCUUCACUGGAGCCUCACGGCACAAAGCGACCCCUAGCAGCACAGACUCUGAACCGAAAACCUCACUCCGGCCCCCUGCCAACGGAUACAGCCCCAGAGAGACUGACUCGCACUGA